AAUGGUUAGUGGCAGGUCGGGAGAUGAGAAAGUCCGAUCGUACAUUGAUUCGUACGAUCGGAUCUUUGCGUCUGUGGCCAGCUUAAGAGCCAUUUGGAACUGAUAUGUGCAUAUUCAGUGCUGCUAGAGAUUUAACAAAAUACAAGCAAGUCUAAUUCUGCAAACAAAGCCGUGGAUGUAAAUCUAUCAUGUGCCAACAGUGGAUGCCUCCUUUGUUGUCACAGAGUGAAUACAGAAGACUGAUGCAUUUUAUCACCAAUUAAGUAGAUUUUCCCAGGAAAUUAGAGCAAAAUUGCAAAACUUUUCCAAAGAUAACUCAUCGCAAUCCAAGAAAGUAAAAAAUCACAAAAAGGAAAAAGAAGAUUAUGCAAUAGAAAAUAAGCCUGUAAUAUGCCAGGACUGCAGUUUUGACUCAAAAACAAGAGAGUUAAAGCCUUCCUAAGUGAAAAUAAUGAAAGCUGAUUUGGAGAAGGGAGAGAAGACCCACACAUUUUCCAAUAGCUCUUACAAUAGUGGGACGAACCAGAAUUAGAUGACGCCACAUAUCGCAUUAAAGGAGACUAGUAACUGUCUGGAUCUUCACAACAGUGCUGGGAUAAUUCCGCCAAUUAGCUACAACUUGACUGCCAUAUUCCCUUAAAUGAACUCCAGUGCAAAUACUGCCUCUAGUAUAGGGCAUGUUAAUUUCAGGUAAUAAAUAAAAACCUUGUGUGACCCUUCUGUGUAGGACUGUUGCCUUUGUUUCCCUCCCAUCACAACUCUCCCGU